GUGUGGCUGGGGGGCAUGGGGGUGCGCUACACUGUAUUAAUCAUACACUAUACAAACAAGGAAACUGUUAUGUUUGUCUACUGGGCGAGAAGGAGAUAGCGGUGGAGAUCUGCUGUUUCUAUUCAAACAAUUCUGAAAAAAAAAAAAAAAACCUGCAAACACGCCGUGACUGAAUUAGCGCAAGUGGGAUAUCACUCCGCCUCCUUGCCUGGCACAAUGGGAUCCUUCCGCCCAAGACAAGUCAGGGAGUUUUGAGUUUAAAUCGAUGAGUUAGAUAUAAGACAGGUCCAGUCUCCAUGCAUCAAGCCUGCCCUGAACUGGAGGGACCUCCCUUUCUCUUAGAGAUUGAGGGAGGGAGGGAGCAGUCCAGUCUCUAUGCCUCAGGCCUGCCCUGGACUGGAGGGAGAACCCAUUCUCUUAGGGGGCGAGUGACCAGUCCAGUCUCCAUGCCUGAACCUAUUAAACUCCACAGAAGACCAAAGCUUUAGUGUGAAUCUCACUGCUUUCACGACACACUGCAAUUAAAACACACUUUUAAUUACACUAAAGCUGCCCAGUGUAACUGCACAGGUUAUCACACUGAAGGAGGUUGCUGUGGCGGGUGUUCAUCACCACAAGGUCACACUGCCGCAGAGCACAAUGCAAUAGGCACUUUAAUCACAACUUCACCAAACCAAUCGGAAUCCGCUGAGCUAGAAUAACAGCCAAUCACAAGGGUGCUACACUUCCCAUGGUAUCACUCAUUGAUUCAGUGACUGUGUUGCAUUGCUCAAUAAGUUUUUUUUUUAGUAGGUAUUUUAUAGCCUUGAUAGCAUGAUAAAGUUCCCAGAAUAAUGCAUCCUCAAAACACAGGCAUGUUUAGGUAGACAGGACCAUCGAUUAAUAGUAGAAUAACUGCUAGCUCACCCCCAGCAAAGGGUCCUGCUGUUUGAAGGGUUAAUACAGUGUAUAAUUAAACUGUCAAAAACAAACUACAUGGCAGUAAAUCGCUCUGGGGUCAGCUGUACAAUUGUAGGUUUCGGGUGUCACCGCUAAACGCUUUCAUUCAUUUAUUUUUA